AACGCUGUAUGAAGAUUGCAGUCUGAGCUUAAAAGCUAAAUUAAUUAAAACUUUCAACAACGGAUCUCUUGGUUCCGGCAUCGAUGAAGAACGCAGCGAAAUGCGAUAAAUAAUGUGAAUUGCAGAAUUCAGUGAAUCAUCGAGUCUUUGAACGCACAUUGCGCCCCCUGGUAUUCCGGGGGGCAUGCCUGUCCGAGCGUCAUUG
rnacentral:rRNA from 1 species